ACGCGUGGGAAAUCUGCCGAGUAGCGGGGGACAACGUUUGGAAACGAACGCUAAUACCGCAUAACAAUGAGAAUCGCAUGAUUCUGAUUUAAAAGAAGCAACUGCUUCACUACUUGAUGAUCCCGCGUUGUAUUAGCUAGUUGGUAGUGUAAAGGACUACCAAGGCGAUGAUACAUAGCCGGCCUGAGAGGGUGAACGGCCACACUGGGACUGAGACACGGCCCAGACUCCUACGGGAGGCAGCAGUAGGGAAUCUUCGGCAAUGGGGGCAACCCUGACCGAGCAACGCCGCGUGAGUGAAGAAGGUUUUCGGAUCGUAAAACUCUGUUGUUAGAGAAGAACGUUAAGUAGAGUGGAAAGUUACUUAAGUGACGGUAUCUAACCAGAAAGGGAC
rnacentral:rRNA from 1 species